GACUGUAAGCAACGACUGGCUUGGUCACAGGAGUGGGGAGAUAUCCGGGCUUUUGCAUUGCCCUUUGCUCCUCCCUGUUUGGCUUUGCAUGAGCUUUUAGGGAAAAAAGUCCAGCAGGGGCUGAGCUGUAAACACAGUCAGCCACAACUGCAAAUCUGUGGUGCUCUGCUGAAGGUCCUCAGACUGGACCAAUUCACAGCAGCAGGAGGAUCAAGCUUUCCAAAUCUGUGAUAGGACUGAAGCCUGCAUCCAGCCCUGUGGAGGAUGAGCCAUCUCCACUUUUUUUUUUAUCUCUGAAGAUGUCCUGGGGCAGAGCUGGAGGCCAAGGCCCACCGGAGCCUGCUCGCAUCACCAUGCCUGCUGAGCAGGAGACCGGGCCGCGCUGCUCCCACUAACCCCUGGCCACAGGCCCACUGGCUUCUGCGAUGGCCUCAGCAACAUCUGCUUCAUCCAUUAGCAUAGCACUCCUCUCCUGGCCUCUGGCCUGAGCCUUUGCUGCCAUUGAUUAGCAGCAAUUUCCUUCCCAAACCCGAAUGUUCGCCGGACGCCAGAUUGGAUUGCAGUCUGCCUGCCGUUGCAAAGCCACAGUGUGGGUGUGCAUGCACAGGAGUAUAAAUAGCACUGACUUGUUGCCCUCUGAGACGUUUCAGGAACUCUUCUGCUCUCGCUGAAGUUCGGAUUGCCUUCAGAUAUCUUCCCUUUGAGCUCAUGAGUAUAAACUUAUUUCGUGCCUCACCAGCUUUGACUCCUAAACCACGUUCUCGUGUUUGCAUGUUUCUCUCGUUCAACUUCAGCAGUUACAGCACCAGCCCCAAGAUGAAGAACAGUGACAUGAAACUGCAUCUGAGGCUGCAGUGCAGUGGCCCAAGCUGCCUCCGUUGUGUCAUUUCCUCCUCUUCUCCUGGUUGUCAGGAUUUGCAGUAGGAACACCAUUUCGUUGAGGAAAAACCCUCAACAGCACUUGAAAAGAAAGAAAAAAGAAAAUGACUUUAUUAUUUCCAUUGUGGUGGAAAGCAUUUGGUGUCUUCUUAAGGUGUGAGAGUUUGUGCGUCUGUGGCCAACUGCUCAAGUACUCCGAGCCCUUAUUCCUGCAUAUAAGCUGAUGUCCUGCUUAGAGUGGAGAUUUACAACCUGCUCACCAUGGGGGUUGCAUCAGUAAGACAUGUGUUCUCCUCGUUCUCAUACAUUAGCUUGUUUUGGGAGGGGAAAAUGGCUGCUCCCUUCAAAGAAAUCCCGGCUUUUGCUGAUGCUAUCUGGCAUUUUCACGGUGUCAUCAUUUUGCAACUCAUUUCGUGAUCCAGGGCAAAUGUGCGUCAGGGCAUUGGGGUUUUGGUAUACCACAGACGUCAUCUGCUUCUCAACUGCCGCUAACUUGAGGAAGUUGUCAAAAAUACAAUUGGUUUCUCCUACAGAGGAAAACACAUGGCUUAGAAAGCAGUGGGAGCUGCCUGUUUUCCUUUUUGGGUGAAGAACAGGAAUUUUCAGAAUUUGGUCAGAAAGUGGUUUGGGCUGUGGGAGAAGUUGGACUUUGAUCCCAGGGAAAAUCAACUUUGAGAUAACAAGCUCUACAAAAACUCCCCAUUUAUUUGGUACAUUCAUUUGUUUUCAACUAUGCAUGUGCACAUAAUGUGAAUGUAACUAUAUAUAUAAAAUGUCUUCCAUCCUUUCCUCUUUGUGACCGUAGCAGGAGGAAGGGCCUUUACAGCAGCCACCAAAGGACUAAGACGUGCGACAGAGGGAACAGCGUGUUCUUCCAGAGCAUGAAGCUUGGCUCUGGUGCUCACUUCAGGUGGUUAUAUGCGUGGCAUAGAUGCCACGAAUGACUCACAGAUGACUGCAGUACUUAAAAUUUCCUACAAGGGGUUGAUCUGAGGUGAACAGAUAGAGGAAGGAGACAUUAUAUGUAGCUCUGUGGACUGGUUCUUCAAGGGUGAUGCAGAAGUCAUUUGCAUGUGAAGUUCUCCCUCUGGCAAAGCUUAGUUUUACAGCAAAAUAUUCUCAGGAAUUCUGUUAUAUUGUGAAAGCCAGAUGAGGGAGGCUGCCUGAAAGCAAUACAAGAUGGCCAGUGUAUCUGGCAAACUAGAAACUUCCUGAUGUAUGUGUGAACAUGACCAAAUACUAUCUAAUGUGCCAAACUGCUCUGAAAGCACAUUUGAAUCAGAAUUAAGUUCAUGCAUCUGGGCCAUCCUGCAGCUGCUUCUACAGGAACGUGUUUGGGUCUAUAGUAGCCUUACUUUCAAGCUUGACCUGUCUUCUGUUGCUUGUAUCUCUUUUGGAGAACUAGAAGACCUUCAAAAGAAACAGCUGUGGUUCUUAUAGUCAUCAGUAGUACUUCCAGCUUGUUUCAGAGAUGCAGCUUGCCCAUUCUCUUUCCGUGCUGCAAUUUGAAAGGUUGAAUGGACUCAAGACAUGCCAAAAUGAUGCACAUUUGGUAUCACUAAAAUUUUCAGCACUUACUGCUUGUCACCAUAAGCAGAGUUGUAACCACACAGGUGCUGCAUCAGAAGAGAGAAAAGCUGGAGCCAAUACUAGUGGAAUCAUUUGACCUGACCUCAAUGGCAAGGGGCAGCCCCAUGACGUGAAGGCUGGAAGUUCCUGUGUCCAAGGGCAAAAGCUUUGGAAAACUCAGAGGGUAAAGUAGCCAUGCGUUUCUCGAGAUCUACAUUCACUUCUACUUUUAGUGGCUUGGACCAAACCUUAAUGUAAGCAACUGCUUUGGCAUGUUGCACUAAAAUUUUAUCUGGAUGGUGUCGCAAUGUCCUUUGGGCUGUGGGAGAAGACAGUGCUUGAAAUAUGCAUGUUUGAGCAAGUUCAACGCAGCUUGCUUUUGCUGGAGCCUGACUUUCUUUCCUGGACAAAGCCAGAGAUUUGUGGAGUCUAAUAAUGUGUCAGCAAACCAACUUGGCAUAUAGAAAUGAGAAGGGCGAGUCCCUGUUCCAGUUGCAUAAAAAUGUCAGAGUGUGUGGGGAGUAGAUGAAGGUAAAAUUAAGGCCUAGUUUAUUUUCUUUCCUUUAAAGUGUAUUGUGUUUCUUGCUGAUGAGAAUGAUUUCAUAAUUACAAGCAUAUGGUGAAAAUGUCUGGGUAUCGGUAGAGAGUUGAGAUCUGAACUCAGGUCUGGUCUAGACUAUAUUCCUGUGGUCGUACAGUAGGUAAAUCUUCUGGCACAAUUUCUUGACUUUUUAACACGAGAAGCACUGCCAGCAUGUGAUGACCCAGAUAGACCAUUGGUGAUCUCAGAGAACAUGGUCUAUUUGCUUUCUAGUUUUGCCGACAUGCUUGGGGUCAGCAUUUUGAGCCAUACCCCGUAGGCAUGUCCUAGACAUUUUCUUCUGACACCAAGGAGAAUUGAUGUAACUACUGGUUUUCAGGAAUGCAAGCUUUAAAACAAAUAAUCAGAAGUUAAAAAACUUGUUGUAAAACUGACAGUUCAUGUUUUACUUGUUAACGUUGUUCCAAAUGUAAAAUUGGAGUGUGCUUUAAAAUCGUUACAGUGCAGUUCCCCAUGAGGCAAAAUGCCUUCAGUCUGCUGGGAAUGACAAACAAUAAUGGCAGAAGGAAAGUCAACAGGGCUAAAAUUAAAAUACUUGUGUUUAUAAUUGCUUUUACCAAGUUCCUGGAAGGCCCCUGUUUCAGAUGCAGGAUCCUGUAGGGUUAGGUGAAAUAGAACAGAGCAUAAUCCCAGUCCCAGAAGGUUUUGAGCUAUGCAGGUCUCUUCCAUUGACCAGACUUCCACUGACACUCUUGGAGACCAUGUUACAGACAUAUCAUUUCUAAUUGAAAAAAAUAAUUUAUAGAUUUUUUUUUCAACAGCAAAUUAUAUUUCUUCCAUCUUGUUAAUGACUGUUGGAUGGACAAUGCAGAAGGAUCCCUUUUGCAGGACAAAAAGGCUACAAAAAUAAUAGAAAUGAACGUCUGCAGCUGAAGAGUUUGGCUGGGACUUGAAAAGUUUGCUUUGGGUACGAGCCAGGUCCUGCUGAGGUCUGCAGGAAUUUUGCUCUUGGCCUCAGUGGGACCAAGCUUUCACCCUUGGAGGCCAUGUCCUGAGGAAGAAUUUAGUCUGAAAUAGUUUUCAAAACUUGUAUUGUUUGACUCACAACCAAGCAUUUUGUUGAGACUGAAUGGCUUUGUAUUUCUGAUUGACUCAUGUUGCUCAUCUUAGCAUCCUGCAGCAGUGAUCUCUCAAGGAAAUCCAAGUGUGAGAGAGGAUUGCAUGUAAGGUUCCUAAACCAAAAGCUUCUUGCAGGUCUUCCCAGGUGUCUGCUUAAGCUGUAUAUUUUUGGGAGGAGAUGUGCCUUGGAGCCCCAGCACAUCAGCACACUGCACUGAAGCUAUGGCUGUGACCUGUGGCAUGACUGGGAUAUGCCCAUCCAGACCCUGGUCAUCUUUGAUAGACCCAUCCCUCCAUUCUGCAUAUGAUUCUGUGAUUCAUGGUGAAACAAAUAUUUGAAGGAAGAACAGAGAACUAGUAAAGUGUUUUGAUUUAUACCUCACAUGUAUGCCCUUCCUUAUUACCCCCUUGGUCAUUUUUCCUGUAGACCUCAGAGACCACAUUGAAAAUAACCACUAUCAAAGUGAGGUUUGUGCCAUUCUUCUUCUUCUUCUGAUUAGAGCUAGGAUAACACAUUCAAAUAAUAAGUCUGAAGCUGGGCAUGGGUGGGACAACACUACUGUACUCUUAACACUGCAUGUUCUAGGCAGAUUUAACAUGCAGGUCUUGCAUUGUUGGACUGCACAAGUGUAGUAAUGUUGGAUUUUACUGCUCUAUAUCAACUUGUGAUGAAACGUGGUGACAUCAGCGGAGACAAAGGCCCAUUUCGUAUAAAGCUUGCAGAAACACCAAGUGCUUGUUUGGCCAUUCAGAACACGGAGCUGGGGAAAACAACUUGCUCAGUUCACAGCCCUGAAUCCUCUGGAGAUGCGUGGCUGGGUUAUUUCCUUGAUAUUCUGUGAUAUUAUGACCUGUUCUAAUAGCACAGGAUCAUAGAACUGUAGGAGUUGGAAGGGAGGAUUAUUGAGUUCCAGCCCCUGCUAAAGCAGAUUCCAUACAGGAGGUUGCACAGAACAGUAUCCAGACCCAAAGAAGGAGACUCCACAACCUCUGUGGUCAGCCUGUCACAUUUAAGCAGUUUAUAGUUAUCAUGAUUUAAGAUUUUCCUCCCAAAGUCAAUUGGUUUCACAGUAGACCCCAACAAAUCAGUAUUUUUGUUUUGCUGAAAUGGAGUGUGAUAUCAUUUUAAUGGCUCCUUUCUGAAAACCUUGAAAGCUGCUUAAGAAACAGAUUCACAGUGUAUGGGCUCGAAAACUAUCCCAUUCUGGUGCACUUGAAGUUGUCGAGCACAGAGUGCAUAAUUUAGAAUUGAAAAGAAAAAGAUGUAUCUGUGAAUUAAGGACUGCAAUACAGGAGCUAUCAACCACCAAGAGGCUCUUUUAACCUCAGCAGAGCUGUGCUCUUUAAUGUGUUUUUGUGGGGAAGAAGAAUAAAAAGGAAAUCUGAGAAAACUGAUCUUUAUUUUUAGAAAAAUAAUUUCUUUUUGCUAAGGAGGACUUUUUAUUUUCUGUGCUCUAAAUAAAGCAGUGAUAUGGUCCUGUUGUGCCUCAGGCUAUCCGCUUAAAAGAAAAGGCUCCAAAGAUGGACCAUCUGGAAGCCUGUGCAAGAGCACGCCAGUGCUGUUUGAUGUGGAAGAG
ensembl:lncRNA